GGUGAGAUGGCCGAGCGGUCUAAGGCGCCAGACUAAGGAUCAGGACAUUUGAUGUUCAAUCGUUGUAAGGUUCACACCUUGUAAUCUGGUCCUCCGGGGCGUGGGUUCGAAUCCCACUCUCAUCA